GGUAACUUAGUCUUAUAAUCAUUAUUAAUGGAUCAAGAACCUAUUCAUCCAUAUUACUCUCCAAGAAGAGUUUACCCUAUCUCCCCGUCACCCCAACCAAACAAUUUUAAGUCAAACCCUACUCUACUCUAAAUAAAUUUAUCACCCAUAAUUGUCAAGCUCUAUAGGGUCUUCUCGUCCUCCAACCUUAUUUCAGCCUUUUGACUGAAAAGUUAAAUUAUAACCCAAUCCUUGUGAGACAGUAAACACCUCGUCCAACCAUUCAUACCGGCCUCUAAUUAAGAGACUAAUGAUUAUGCUACCUUUGCACGGUCAAAAUACCGCGGCCCUUCAAUUUUCAGCGGGCAGGCUAGACCUCUUAUAAUUACAAGAAGCG
rnacentral:rRNA from 1 species